rnacentral:rRNA from 1 species
GACGAACGCUGGCGGCGUGCCUAAUACAUGCAAGUCGAGCGAACCAAUAAGAAUCUUGCUUUUUGUUGGUACGCGGCUGACGGGUGAGUAACACGUGGGUAACCUGCCUGGAAGACCGGGAUAACUUCGGGAAACCGGUGCUAAUACCGGGUAGAUUAUCAUUCCGCAUGGAGAGAUAAGGAAAGAUGGCUGUUGCCAUCACUUACAGAUGGACCCGCGGCGCAUUAGCUAGUUGGUGAGAUAACGGCUCACUAAGGCAAGUAUGCGUAGCCGACGUGAAAGGGUGAUCGGCCACACUGGGACUGAGACACGGCCCAGACUCUUACGUGAGGAAGCAGUAGGGACUGUCCCGCACUGGACGAAAGUCUGAUGGAGCAACGCGGCGUGAGCGAAGAAGGUCUUCGGAUCGUAAAGCUCUGUUGUUAGGGAAGAACAAGUAUCGGAGGAAAUGCCGGUACAUUGACGGUACCUGACGAGAAAGCCACGGCUAACUACGUG